rnacentral:rRNA from 2 species
UCUGAUUGAUAAAUUUUGAGUGAGUGGCGGACGGGUGAGUAACACGUGGGUAACCUGCCCUAAAGUGGGGGAUAACAUUUGGAAACAGAUGCUAAUACCGCAUAAAACCUAGCACCGCAUGGUGCAAGGUUGAAAGAUGGUUUCGGCUAUCACUUUAGGAUGGACCCGCGGUGCAUUAGUUAGUUGGUGAGGUAAAGGCUCACCAAGACCGUGAUGCAUAGCCGACCUGAGAGGGUAAUCGGCCACACUGGGACUGAGACACGGCCCAGACUCCUACGGGAGGCAGCAGUAGGGAAUCUUCCACAAUGGACGAAAGUCUGAUGGAGCAACGCCGCGUGAGUGAAGAAGGUUUUCGGAUCGUAAAACUCUGUUGUUGGAGAAGAACGUAUUUGAUAGUAACUGAUCAGGUAGUGACGGUAUCCAACCAGAAAGCCACGGCUAACUACGUGCCAGCAGCCGCGGUAAUACGUAGGUGGCAAGCGUUGUCCGGAUUUAUUGGGCGUAAAGCGAGCGCAGGCGGUUUCUUAAGUCUGAUGUGAAA